rnacentral:rRNA from 1 species
GCAAGCGUUNUCCGGAUNUAUUGGGNGUAAANAGNUCGUAGGCNGUUUGUUAAGUCUGAUGUUAAAGACCGGGGCUCAACCUCGGAAAUGCNUUGGAUACUGGCAGACUGGAGUGCNGUAGAGGCUAGUGGAAUUCCCAGUGUAGCGGUGAAAUGCGUAGAUAUUGGGAAGAACACCGGUGGCGUAGGCGACUAGCUGGGCUGUAACUGACGCUGAGGAACGAAAGCCAGGGGAGCGAAUGNGANUAGAUACCCNGGUAGUCCUNGCCGUAAACGANGNAUACUAGGCGUAGUGGNUAUCGACCCCCGCUGUGCCGCAGCUAACGCGAUAAGUAUCCCGCCUG